GACGAACGCUGGCGGCGUGCUUAACACAUGCAAGUCGAACGGUAAGGCCCUUCGGGGUACACGAGUGGCGAACGGGUGAGUAACACGUGGGUGAUCUGCCCUGCACUUCGGGAUAAGCCUGGGAAACUGGGUCUAAUACCGGAUAGGACCACUGCCUGCAUGGGUGGUGGUGGAAAGCUUUUGCGGUGUGGGAUGGGCCCGCGGCCUAUCAGCUUGUUGGUGGGGGGAUGGCCUACCAAGGCGACGACGGGUAGCCGGGCUGAGAGGGUGACCGGCCACACUGGGACUGAGAUACGGCCCAGACUCCUACGGGAGGCAGCAGUGGGGAAUAUUGCACAAUGGGCGCAAGCCUGAUGCAGCGACGCCGCGUGAGGGAUGACGGCCUUCGGGUUGUAAACCUCUUUCAGCACCGACGAAGCGCAAGUGACGGUAGGUGUAGAAGAAGGACCGGCCAACUACGUGCCAGCAGCCGCAGUAA
rnacentral:rRNA from 1 species